UACGAAGGGGGCAAGCGUUGUUCGGAAUUACUGGGCGUAAAGGGCGCGCAGGCGGCCGAUCAAGUCAGAUGUGAAAGCCCCGGGCUCAACCUGGGAAUAGCAUUUGGGACUGGUCGGCUAGAGUUCGGGAGAGGAGAGUGGAAUUCCCAGUGUAGAGGUGAAAUUCGUAGAUAUUGGGAAGAACACCGGUGGCGAAGGCGGCUCUCUGGACCGACACUGACGCUGAGGCGCGAAAAGCGUGGGGGAGCAAACAGG
rnacentral:rRNA from 1 species